rnacentral:lncRNA from 1 species
AAUGUACAGAUGGAUCAAAAUAGUUCAUCAUUUCCCAGUCAAAUAUGAUUCUUUGCAAAUAGUAACCCAGACUGUCACAGCUGGUAUACACAGGACUUGAAUUAUACAUAUGCAAACUGGGAGCACUUCGAAGACGCAGCCAGCCAGAACAGACACCGUGCCUCCCAGCGUGCUUCCCCACUCACAUCCUACCUGCAGGUCCAAAAAAGCUCCCUGUGGAACUGGAUGGGACAACUGGCAUCCUGCAACCAGGCUGCAUUGACCUUGUACAGAGCUCAGCCAGUGAAGCCCAUUACUGUCAGAAAGCUGCUCACUACCAGCUUUGGCUCAACCAAUCACAGCAAAUGUUAACCGUAAAGUACUCAGUCUCACGUAACCCAGACAGCUCAGUGCUCUGUGAAGCAAAAGGAACAAAAUUCCUCAAGUUCAUUGAUUUCUUUCAGAUUAUAACUAGAACCUGUUUAUCACUGAAAAGAAGUACCCGUCUGGGGUUCUUCCUAUCAGCACGGG